rnacentral:rRNA from 1 species
GAUGAACGCUGGCGGCGUGCCUAAUACAUGCAAGUCGAGCGAAUGGAUUAAGAGCUUGCUCUUAUGAAGUUAGCGGCGGACGGGUGAGUAACACGUGGGUAACCUGCCCAUAAGACUGGGAUAACUCCGGGAAACCGGGGCUAAUACCGGAUAACAUUUUGAAACGCAUGGUUCGAAAUUGAAAGGCGGCUUCGGCUGUCACUUAUGGAUGGACCCGCGUCGCAUUAGCUAGUUGGUGAGGUAACGGCUCACCAAGGCAACGAUGCGUAGCCGACCUGAGAGGGUGAUCGGCCACACUGGGACUGAGACACGGCCCAGACUCCUACGGGAGGCAGCAGUAGGGAAUCUUCCGCAAUGGACGAAAGUCUGACGGAGCAACGCCGCGUGAGUGAUGAAGGCUUUCGGGUCGUAAAACUCUGUUGCUAGGGAAGAACAAGUGCUAGUUGAAUAAGCUGGCACCUUGACGGUACCUAACCAGAAAGCCACGGCUAACUACGUGCCAGCCGCCGCUGUAA